rnacentral:rRNA from 1 species
AGUGAACGCUGGCGGUAGGCCUAACACAUGCAAGUCGAACGGCAGCACAGUAAGAGCUUGCUCUUACGGGGGGCGAGUGGCGGACGGGUGAGGAAAACAUCGGAGUCUACUUUUGCGUGGGGGAGAACGUAGGGAAACUUACGGUAAUACUGCAUACGACCUACGGGUGAAAGCAGCGGAUCUUCGGACCUUGCGCGAUUGAAUGAGCCGAUGUCGGAUUAGCUAGGUGGUGGGGUAAAGGCCCACCAAGGCGGCGAUGCGUAGCUGGUGUGAGAGGAUGAUGAGUCACCCUAGAACUGAGACACGGUCCAGACUCCUACGGGAGGCAGCAGUGGGGAAUAUUGGACAAUGGGCGGAAGCCUGAUCCAGCCCUGCCGCGUGUGUGAAGAAGGUCUUCGGAUUGUAAAGCACUUUUAGUUGGGAGAAAGGGCAGUAAGUUAAUACCCCGCCGUUUUGACGUUACCACCAGAAUAAGCACCGGCUAACUUCGUG